UCUCUAGGCAUCCCCUUCGUCGUCCUCCUGCGGAACGGGCUCGGGAACCAUGUCUUCCUGAUCUGAAAUGGUUAAUUAAGGAGUGAGCUACACUAGCCCAGUAAGAACAUCACGAUAUCUCACCGUCACGGAGAUAAAGGUGGGUAGAAAAACACAAAAAGACCAAUGGAGCAUAAUUUACAACAAACUCGUUUAUUAACAUGAAAACCUUUACCAUCCACUUACCUCGGUGGAAUUUAUGAAAACAAUAUGAGAAAAACAAUAACAUUAUCACAAUCAUGGAAUAAUAUAAGCUGUAAAACAUAACACUUAUCACGCCUUUUGUAAUUCAAUCAUUAUACAACAUAUCCUUUUCUCAUUUACCAGCCUACUAGUAUUCGUGGGGGUCCAUAGGGAUUCCGCUACCCGUUAAUCUUUUAACAUUCAUAAUCAGUUUCCAGGGCCGUCCCCAUACCCCGUCCGGUAUGGGCGCCAAAACCAUAAACCUCAAUACCCCGUCCG
rnacentral:lncRNA from 1 species